GUAAAAAAACAGCCUAAUUCCCUAUGGGGAAACGGGGGAACCACUUUGGGUGAAUUGAUUCCGAUGUCUGAUCCAUUUUGCAGCGUCUGAGGAAUCAUAGGGAGCCUUCAACCGAACCCCACAGCUAACCUCGUCGGCCUUGGAAGGAGCUUCA
rnacentral:sRNA from 2 species